UACGUAGGGUGCGAGCGUUAAUCGGAAUUACUGGGCGUAAAGCGCACGUAGGCGGAUCCUUAAGUCGGUGGUGAAAUCCUGAAGCUCAACUUCAGAACUGCCUUCGAUACUGGGGACCUUGAGUUCGGGAGAGGUGAGUGGAACUGCGAGUGUAGAGGUGAAAUUCGUAGAUAUUCGCAAGAACACCAGUGGCGAAGGCGGCUUACUGGUCCGGUACUGACGCUGAGGUGCGAAAGCGUGGGGAGCAAACAGG
rnacentral:rRNA from 1 species